rnacentral:rRNA from 1 species
GACGAACCGUGCGAACGUUGUUCGGAAUCACUGGGCUUAAAGGGCGCGUAGGCGGGCUGUCAAGUCUGGGGUGAAAUGCCGCGGCUCAACCGUGGAACUGCCUUAGAUACUGACGGCCUCGAGGAAGGUAGGGGCAUGCGGAACUGUAGGUGGAGCGGUGAAAUGCGUUGAUAUCUACAGGAACGCCGGUGGCGAAAGCGACGUACUGGACCUCUUCUGACGCUGAGGCGCGAAAGCUAGGGGAGCAAACGGG